rnacentral:rRNA from 1 species
AAACUGAAGAGUUUGAUCAUGGCUCAGAUUGAACGCUGGCGGCAGGCCUAACACAUGCAAGUCGAGCGGUUGAAGGUAGCUUGCUACCUGAUGCAGCGGCGGACGGGUGAGUAACGCGUGGGAAUCUGCCCAGUAGUGGGGGACAACAGUCGGAAACGACUGCUAAUACCGCAUACGCCCUACGGGGGAAAGGGGGGGAUCUUCGGACCUCUCGCUAUUGGAUGAGCCCGCGUCGGAUUAGCUAGUUGGUAGGGUAAAGGCCUACCAAGGCUACGAUCCGUAACUGGUCUGAGAGGAUGAUCAGUCACACUGGAACUGAGACACGGUCCAGACUCCUACGGGAGGCAGCAGUGGGGAAUAUUGGACAAUGGGGGAAACCCUGAUCCAGCCAUGCCGCGUGUGUGAAGAAGGCCUUAGGGUUGUAAAGCACUUUCAGUGGGGAGAAAGGUUUGUCACCUAAUACGUGAUGAAAUUGAUGUUACCCACAGAAGAAGCACCGGCUAACUCCGUGCCAGCAGCCGCGGUAAUACGGAGGGUGCAAGCGUUAAUCGGAAUUACUGGGCGUAAAGCGCACGUAGGUGGUUCGCUAAGUCAGCUGUGAAAUCCCCGGGCUCAACCUGGGACUUGCAGUUGAAACUGGUGAGCUAGAGUAGGGUAGAGGGGUGUGGAAUUCCAGGUGUAGCGGUGAAAUGCGUAGAUAUCUGGAGGAACAUCAGUGGCGAAGGCGACACCCUGGACUCAUACUGACACUGAGGUGCGAA